GACGAACGCUGGCGGCGUGCCUAAUACAUGCAAGUCGAACGCAGGGGGGACGGGUGAGUAACACGUGGGUAACCUCCCAUCAGAGGGGAUAACACUUGGAAACAGGUCCUAACCCGAUAUGGAUGGAUGGACCCGCGGUGCAUUUGCUCGUUGGUGAGGUACCGGCUCACAAAGGCCACGAUGCAUAGCCGACCGUAGAGGGUGAUCGGCCACACUGGGACGGAGAAACGGCCCAGACUCCUACGGUAGGCAGCAGGAGGGAAUCUUCGUCAAUGGACGAAAGUCUGACCGAGCAACGCCGCUUGAGUGACGAAGUUUUUCGGAUCGUAAAACUCUGUUGUUAGAGAAGCGGUAUCUAACCAGAAAGCCACGGCUAACUACGUGCCAGCAGCCGCGGUAAUAC
rnacentral:rRNA from 1 species